rnacentral:snRNA from 1 species
GGACAUGAAAGCAAACUGGCUGUGGCAUCUGUCACCCCUUUGGUUGCCAGGGUUGAUUCACCGGAUUUGGCUGCCCCGGCAGGUGUCUCCUUCCUCUCUUACCAGUCCAUGUGCUGCAUGCUAGGUUGAAGAGGACAACCUUCCCUGAUAGGGGAGAACUGUUCUUCAGUCAAGGGUAUACCAGUAGCUGCAGUCCCUGCUAGAACUUCCAAACAAGCUCUCAAGGUCCCUUUGUAGGAUAAUGUAGUGUAGUCAGCUCCCAAAACUCCGGACACCUCCAAAUGAGGUGCUGCAUACAGUAGACUGCCUACU